GAAGAAACAUAAUGUACAAUGGGUGUUUCCAAUCUCUAUUUAUCGCAGUAAUUGUUCUUUCAUAUGGAAACUUUUAAUGAGGGUUUGGCCAUAAAUUAUUGGUAAUGUUUACUAGUCUAUGGGCGAUAAUUGCACCACGAAUUUCUGGAAUAAUGUGUGGAUUAAGGAGUGUGGUCAUCUAUGGGAAGUUUUUAGAGGCUUUGACCAGCCAGUAACACAUUACGCGUUUAUGAUUUGGU
rnacentral:lncRNA from 1 species